GGCGAACGGCUGAGUAACACGUGGGCAACCUGCCCUUUGCACUGGGAUAGCCUCGGGAAACCGAGGUUAAUACCGGAUACUCCAUAUUUGUCGCAUGGCGAAUAUGGGAAAGCUCCGGCGGCAAAGGAUGGGCCCGCGGCCUGUUAGCUAGUUGGUGGGGUAGUGGCCUACCAAGGCAAUGAUGGGUAGCCGGGUUGAGAGACCGACCGGCCAGAUUGGGACUGAGACACGGCCCAGACUCCUACGGGAGGCAGCAGGU
rnacentral:rRNA from 1 species